AAAAAGGUUGCUGCGCCUCGGACCGUAACCUCCCUGGGUCCUUCCUUCCGGUCAGCUGUUAAGGGGGGACCGGAAGCGGGGCGUCCCUCAAGUUAAAACCCACCGGGAUCCUCGUGCCCAGCCUACCGAUCCACUGCCUCUCCACAUACCGUCUCUGUCCAGUGGACCAGUAGGGGUUUCUCUGGAGGACCCGGAUCCGUCCAGAGGAGAUUCUUCUGGAUCCCAGAGACCCUGACGGAAUGCCAUCCAUGGAUGAGGAAGUGUUUGAAGGCCAAAUUGGAUGCUUUAAAGGGCCAGAUUUGGCCCCCGGGCCUUGAGUUGGACACGUGUGUUAGGGGCAGUGAGGGGAGUGGUUCUUACCUUGGCGUCAUGUUCCAGCAUUGGUUCAGUUGCUGACGUGACAAAGUCCUCGAGAUCCACGGCAUCCUCAACAUGUUCCAUGACGAUCAACAACUCAUCGUCAAGUUCAAUGGCCUCCUCAAAGCCAAUGAUGGCGGGGUUCAGCAGGCUGUUUUGGCCACACCCACCAGCCGCUUUCUUCAUCAGCAGCACCUCAUAAGCGCCUGACGUACAUUGAUUCAGGUUCUAAAGAAAACAAAGAGUUUCUACAAACAGCCCCAAACCUGGAAAUGUGAAUGUCUGCUAACAUUGAUGAGAAUACUUACAUUCAUCGACACAUAUGACACAUUGUCCCGUGGAAUGUGCUUUAUCGCUACCUGCAGGACAUAAAAACCAGCAUGUAAUGACAGCGUUG
rnacentral:lncRNA from 1 species